rnacentral:rRNA from 1 species
UACGCAGGGGGCUAGCGUUGCUCGGAAUCACUGGGCGUAAAGCGCACGUAGGCGGGUCUUUAAGUCAGGGGUGAAAUCCUGGAGCUCAACUCCAGAACUGCCUUUGAUACUGAGGAUCUCGAGUCCGGGAGAGGUGAGUGGAACUCCGAGUGUAGAGGUGAAAUUCGUAGAUAUUCGGAAGAACACCAGUGGCGAAGGCGGCUCACUGGCCCGGUACUGACGCUGAUGUGCGAAAGCGUGGGGAGCAAACAGG